rnacentral:rRNA from 1 species
UUAAGCGACUAAGCGUACACGGUGGAUGCCCUGGCAGUCAGAGGCGAUGAAGGACGUGCUAAUCUGCGAUAAGCGUCGGUAAGGUGAUAUGAACCGUUAUAACCGGCGAUUUCCGAAUGGGGAAACCCAGUGUGUUUCGACACACUAUCAUUAACUGAAUCCAUAGGUUAAUGAGGCGAACCGGGGAACUGAAACAUCUAAGUACCCCGAGGAAAAGAAAUCAACCGAGAUUCCCCAGUAGCGGCGAGCGAACGGGGAGCAGCCCAGAGCCUGAAUCAGUGUGUGUGUUAGUGGAAGCGUCUGGAAAGGCGCGCGAUACAGGGUGACAGCCCCGUACACAAAAAUGCACAUACUGUGAGCUCGAUGAGUAGGGCGGGACACGUGGUAUCCUGUCUGAAUAUGGGGGGACCAUCCUCCAAGGCUAAAUACUCCUGACUGACCGAUAGUGAACCAGUACCGUGAGGGAAAGGCGAAAAGAACCCCGGCGAGGGGAGUGAAAAAGAACCUGAAACCGUGUACGUACAAGCAGUGGGAGCACGCUUCGGCGUGUGACUGCGUACCUUUUGUAUAAUGGGUCAGCGACUUAUAUUCUGUAGCAAGGUUAACCGAAUAGGGGAGCCGAAGGGAAACCGAGUCUUAACUGGGCGUUAAGUUGCAGGGUAUAGACCCGAAACCCGGUGAUCUAGCCAUGGGCAGGUUGAAGGUUGGGUAACACUAACUGGAGGACCGAACCGACUAAUGUUGAAAAAUUAGCGGAUGACUUGUGGCUGGGGGUGAAAGGCCAAUCAAACCGGGAGAUAGCUGGUUCUCCCCGAAAGCUAUUUAGGUAGCGCCUCGUGAACUCAUCUUCGGGGGUAGAGCACUGUUUCGGCAAGGGGGUCAUCCCGACUUACCAACCCGAUGCAAACUGCGAAUACCGGAGAAUGUUAUCACGGGAGACACACGGCGGGUGCUAACGUCCGUCGUGAAGAGGGAAACAACCCAGACCGCCAGCUAAGGUCCCAAAGUCAUGGUUAAGUGGGAAACGAUGUGGGAAGGCCCAGACAGCCAGGAUGUUGGCUUAGAAGCAGCCAUCAUUUAAAGAAAGCGUAAUAGCUCACUGGUCGAGUCGGCCUGCGCGGAAGAUGUAACGGGGCUAAACCAUGCACCGAAGCUGCGGCAGCGACACUAUGUGUUGUUGGGUAGGGGAGCGUUCUGUAAGCCUGUGAAGGUGUACUGUGAGGUAUGCUGGAGGUAUCAGAAGUGCGAAUGCUGACAUAAGUAACGAUAAAGCGGGUGAAAAGCCCGCUCGCCGGAAGACCAAGGGUUCCUGUCCAACGUUAAUCGGGGCAGGGUGAGUCGACCCCUAAGGCGAGGCCGAAAGGCGUAGUCGAUGGGAAACAGGUUAAUAUUCCUGUACUUGGUGUUACUGCGAAGGGGGACGGAGAAGGCUAUGUUGGCCGGGCGACGGUUGUCCCGGUUUAAGCGUGUAGGCUGGUUUUCCAGGCAAAUCCGGAAAAUCAAGGCUGAGGCGUGAUGACGAGGCACUACGGUGCUGAAGCAACAAAUGCCCUGCUUCCAGGAAAAGCCUCUAAGCAUCAGGUAACAUCAAAUCGUACCCCAAACCGACACAGGUGGUCAGGUAGAGAAUACCAAGGCGCUUGAGAGAACUCGGGUGAAGGAACUAGGCAAAAUGGUGCCGUAACUUCGGGAGAAGGCACGCUGAUAUGUAGGUGAAGUCCCUCGCGGAUGGAGCUGAAAUCAGUCGAAGAUACCAGCUGGCUGCAACUGUUUAUUAAAAACACAGCACUGUGCAAACACGAAAGUGGACGUAUACGGUGUGACGCCUGCCCGGUGCCGGAAGGUUAAUUGAUGGGGUUAGCGGUAACGCGAAGCUCUUGAUCGAAGCCCCGGUAAACGGCGGCCGUAACUAUAACGGUCCUAAGGUAGCGAAAUUCCUUGUCGGGUAAGUUCCGACCUGCACGAAUGGCGUAAUGAUGGCCAGGCUGUCUCCACCCGAGACUCAGUGAAAUUGAACUCGCUGUGAAGAUGCAGUGUACCCGCGGCAAGACGGAAAGACCCCGUGAACCUUUACUAUAGCUUGACACUGAACAUUGAGCCUUGAUGUGUAGGAUAGGUGGGAGGCUUUGAAGUGUGGACGCCAGUCUGCAUGGAGCCGAACUUGAAAUACCACCCUUUAAUGUUUGAUGUUCUAACGUUGACCCGUAAUCCGGGUUGCGGACAGUGUCUGGUGGGUAGUUUGACUGGGGCGGUCUCCUCCUAAAGAGUAACGGAGGAGCACGAAGGUUGGCUAAUCCUGGUCGGACAUCAGGAGGUUAGUGCAAUGGCAUAAGCCAGCUUGACUGCGAGCGUGACGGCGCGAGCAGGUGCGAAAGCAGGUCAUAGUGAUCCGGUGGUUCUGAAUGGAAGGGCCAUCGCUCAACGGAUAAAAGGUACUCCGGGGAUAACAGGCUGAUACCGCCCAAGAGUUCAUAUCGACGGCGGUGUUUGGCACCUCGAUGUCGGCUCAUCACAUCCUGGGGCUGAAGUAGGUCCCAAGGGUAUGGCUGUUCGCCAUUUAAAGUGGUACGCGAGCUGGGUUUAGAACGUCGUGAGACAGUUCGGUCCCUAUCUGCCGUGGGCGCUGGAGAACUGAGGGGGCUGCUCCUAGUACGAGAGGACCGGAGUGGACGCAUCACUGGUGUUCGGGUUGUCAUGCCAAUGGCACUGCCCGGUAGCUAAAUGCGGAAGAGAUAAGUGCUGAAAGCAUCUAAGCACGAAACUUGCCCCGAGAUGAGUUCUCCCUGACUCCUUGAGAGUCCUGAAGGAACGUUGAAGACGACGACGUUGAUAGGCCAGGUGUGUAAGCGCAGCGAUGCGUUGAGCUAACCGGUACUAAUGAACCGUGAGGCUUAACCUU